rnacentral:rRNA from 1 species
UGUUAGGGAAGAACAAGUGCCGUUCAAAUAGGGCGGCACCUUGACGGUACCUAACCAGAAAGCCACGGCUAACUACGUGCCAGCAGCCGCGGUAAUACGUAGGUGGCAAGCGUUUGUCCGGAAUUAUUCGGGCGUAAAGGGCUCGCAGGCGGUUUCUUAAGUCUGAUGUGAAAGCCCCCGGCUCAACCGGGGAGGGUCAUUGGAAACUGGGGAACUUGAGUGCAGAAGAGGAGAAAGGAAUUCCACGUGUAGCGGUGAAAUGCGUAGAGAUGUGGAGGAACACCAGUGGCGAAGGCGACUCUCUGGUCUGUAACUGACGCUGAGGAGGCGAAAAGGCGUGGGGAGCGAACAGGAUUAGAUACCCUGGUAGUCCACGCCGUAAACGAUGAGUGCUAAGUGUUAGGGGGUUUCCGCCCCUUAGUGCUGCAGCUAAC